ensembl:lncRNA
UUUUUUUUUUUUUUAUAAAAUCUGUCCAUAUAGUUGAGAAACUGAAAAUGUUUUUCAAUUAGCUUAAAUAAAAUAAUUGUGUCUUUUGUGCUUCGGGCCAGAGUACUGCAAAUCAGGAUGACCAAACAGAUAAAAAAUGAAAAAGAUUCUGCAGUGUCCCUCAAGAACCUUCCUUCCACUUUCUGCAGGCUACAGGGAAAGUAUUGACGGGUGCAAAGAGCCAAGACAGCACAUGCCUGAAACAUCACACCAAAUUGUUCUGCAUGGAUCAGUCCGAGAAACUUAAAAGUCUCAGAGUGGAGUAUUUUGGUGAGCAGCUGGGAAAGUGUUCUCCCUCAGGUCCGAGCAGAUUUUAUCAGUGCUGGUGAUAAAUGUGAGCCUCUGUCACAGGUUGGUGGUGAGAAGUCUGUUUACUUGAAAGGAAAUUUCUGUCAGAGUAAAGGUCAAGUUCUUUCACUUUUUCUUCAGGAUCCUGGAAGGAAAUUGCUUUUACGUUUAAAGAUGCAACAAGGGAGGCGAGAAGAUGACACACACAGCAUUCAUAAAGACAUCUCCGGAAUCUUGGACAGUAUUUUAGGUCUCUCAAUUGAUAUGAAGAUCUCAAACGUGUGAUAACGUAUGAAAUUCAUUUAAUAUCCUGUUAAAAUCAAGUGAUUUUGUAGAUUAUUUGUAGCUUACUGUAGGAUGGAAUCUGAUGUAGUACUCUUCAAAGAACAAUUUGGUUUUUUAUUCACCCUCGUAUCAUUCCAAACAUAUGGAACACAAAAAGUAUCAGAAUUUUUUAAUAUAUAUAUAUAUUUUUAAAGUAGUUCUUUUAUCAUUUUAGAAAUAUAGAAACUUUCCUACAAUUGGUUCAUGGCCAGAGCUUUAAAACUGGCAUUUGCUGUUAGUAUAAGAACUCUUUGUGCAGGCUGAAUGUAGUGUGAAGGGCCUGGGGAAUAGGCUAAUUGGAAUGAAUGAAAGAUUUGAAUUAAGGAAAGUCAGAGGUGCUGCUUCCUCCCCUAAUCGUUUUUCUCUCCAGGAAAGAGCCUGUUUCCCGUUGAGGUCAAAUUAAGCUGUUUAGCGGGUCGUCAUGUGUCACUGGCUCUUUGACCUCCCUUUUCUCACAAGCUGAGCUUCGUGUCUGGCACAUCUGACUCUGCACUCUGAUCUUCCAGACUAAAAGGAAAACCGAAGAAACGAUGUAAUGUUACCAUCUCACCUAUGCGCCUAUUUCGAGCAUGUUAUUGGAAGAAUAUCACACCACUAAUUAAUAAUCAUUUUAAAUUGUGAUUCUUUGGGCAUCAUUGAACUUCUGUGACUUUAAUUUAGCACCAGAAAGAAACCUGAACUCGUCUUGAUGGCUAAAUUGAUGUUCAUCAUGGCUAAAACCUGCAGCUUGCUAGGCACAGCAUCUCUCCCUUUUUUUUUUUCCAGACUGAUUCUCUAAGGGCUUAGUGUGCUGAAACUCUGGCACCAGAGGUGCGAGACAUGCACUGCUGCCUAUUGGUUUGACCUUGCUGUGAAGAAAAUAGAGACAUGAAGGAGGGAGAGACAGAAAGAGUAAAGGGUAAAAAAAAAAAAAAACAUCCAUAAAAGAGAUAGAGAUAAAAGGAUCUUCACUGUCCCAGAGAGCCAUUGUCUCACCCAUGUGACACAAUAAAGAACUGUAGACAUGCA